rnacentral:rRNA from 1 species
UACGUAGGGACCAAGCGUUGUUCGGAUUUACUGGGCGUAAAGGGCGCGUAGGCGGCGCGGUAAGUCACUUGUGAAAUCUCUGAGCUUAACUCAGAACGGCCAAGUGAUACUGCAGUGCUAGAGUGUGGAAGGGGCAAUCGGAAUUCUUGGUGUAGCGGUGAAAUGCGUAGAUAUCAAGAGGAACACCUGAGGUGAAGACGGGUUGCUGGGCCAACACUGACGCUGAUGCGCGAAAGCCAGGUGAGCAAACGGG